AAGUCGUAACAAGGUUUCCGUAGGUGAACCUGCGGAAGGAUCAUUAAUGAAUAACUUGAUGUGGUUGUAGCUGGCUCUUAGGAGCAUGUGCACGCCCGUCAUCUUAUCUUUCCACCUGUGCACACUAUGUAGAUCUGGAUAACUCUCGCUCUUCGGAGCGGAAACAAGGAUUGCUGCGUCGCAAGGCCAGCUCUCUUUGAAUUUCCAGGUCUAUGUUUAUUACAAACUCCAAUUGAAUGAUGAAGAAUGUAGUCAAUGGGCUUCGUGCCUAUAAAACACUAUACAACUUUCAGCAACGGAUCUCUUGGCUCUC
rnacentral:misc_RNA from 1 species